UUGUUUACUCAAUAUUUUAAGCCCACUGUUAAGACUUACUGCUCAGAAAGACAAGAUUUCUUUCAAAUUAUUUUUGCUCCUUGGCAAUUUGCCUGGUCACCCAAGAGCUCUGAUGGAGAUGCACACAAGAGCACUUACAGAGAUGUACAAGGAGACUAAUGUUGUUUUUAUUCCUGCUAAAACAACAUCCAUUCUGCAGCCCCUGGAUCAAGGAGUAAUUUUUAUUUUCAAGUAUUACUAUUUAAGGAACACAUUUUGUAUUCAACUCUCAUGGAUGACUUGGAGGUGUUCAAGACUGCAGUGGAGGAAGUCACUGCAGAUGUGGUACAAAUAAGCAAGAGAAAUAAAAUUGGAAGUGGAGCCUGAAGAGGUGACUGAAUUGCUACAAUCUCAUGAUAAAACUUGAAUGGAUGAAGAGUUGCUUCUUAGGGAUGAGC
rnacentral:lncRNA from 1 species